ensembl:lncRNA
AUCUAUGAGGUGCAGGAUCUUGGACCAAUGUUGAUUCACUAUGGGCAGAGCUACCCAGUGUGACACCAUGGAAACAGAAGCCAAACACCUGGCAAAAUGUCCUGUCGGCAGUGUUUGUGUCACAGGUCAUUUCCACUGUGACAGGGAAUAUCAGCACGUUUGAAAGUAUUCAAGUCCUCAUCACAAUAUCAGAGAGAACAUGUGGACACUCCACCAAAACCCUCCUGCAUUUUUGAUGACUCAACUUUCUGUCCUCUUCCAGAGAUGAAGUGACUCAUAAGGAGAGCAUUUGAAGGUGGCCCAGUUAAGCCUACAUUUCACAAGAACAUUCUCUGUGUAUGACGGAUUCAAUUUUGCAAUGACUGCACAACCAAUGUGUGAG